GGACAGACUAAUUAAGGAUUUGGCUAAAGCAGCUCAUGUAGAGAUCCUGAAGGAGGGAGCAAAGCAGAGAAACAACAUUGAUCACUCCGUCAGCUUAUCAGUCUUUUCAGUCAAAGUGCCUUGACUGAGAGGAGAACACAUUCAGCAUUCAAGCUGAAAUGUAACUCUGCAUUGCAGAGUUGCCAAAGUGAGGAAGACCAGGAUAAAGAUGGCCUGAAAUCAUUUGAGGAUAAAGAGAUGGAAAAGCAGAGGCUGCUGUAUCAGCAGGCCCGACUUCAUGAACACGGAGCUGCUGAGAUGGUCUUGCAGAACCUCAGCACCAGCAAAGAAAAUGCUGGAUUACCCGCGAAAGAAGAGAGAUGUGGACUUCUUUCACAGUCUGGUCGGCCUAAUGUAGUCUUGCAGGUUCAGUUGUUAUUUGCUAAUGCAUUGUGAGACAUUUCCCUGACAGAAAGCAGCUGCUCAAACACCUAAAAGUGGAUAAAUACUUUGUCUUUCUGUGUUCAAUUUCAAAGUUACUUAGUAUAAUCAAGAGAAAAGAACAUAGUUUUCUAUCACUUUUUUCACCUUUCAAUCUGUUCCUUUGCUGUAAUUGGAAGUGUCUGUGUUAGUUUGUAUUUUAAAAAGAAUAGGACUGUGUUUUUGAUGUUGCUGUUGUAAUUCUGUGUCACAGCGUGCUGGAUUUGAAUGCAUUUGAGAGGCAGAUCAAAGCAGAGAGUUUAGGAGUGGGUGCUGGGGACAAUUCAGCUACAUCACUGACAUCCACAACAAAGUGCUUUGAAAAACGAAUGUGUCUAUCAGAAGAGGCAGAUACUUUCUUUUUAUUGACCUUGAUUUGCUUGUACUGCAUUUUUCUUUCUCCUCCUCUCUUUCUCAGGCGAUAGAGUAAUGGCAGAUGAACAGCUGACCUGUGAUCUUUUCUGAUUCCUCAAGCUUCUUUGUGAAGGCCAUAAUAAUGGUUAGAACAAACAUGUUUUAUUUUUUUUUAAUUUUUAUUUUUUUGUUUUAUAAUGCAAGGUUCUUUUGCACCUUGGUUGUCAACGUCAAAAGGUGAAGUGUAAUAUGCUUUGUUAAAAUACUUUCUCCUAUCCAACUUUAACCAUACUAUAAGUAAGCCAUUUGUAAACUGAUUUCCCUAAAGAGUGUACACACUGUAGUGCUACACAACAGUGGUCCAACAUAUCAGCAGUUGCUCAAGCAAUGGCAGUAUGGGAAUUAUUCUACCUUCAAAACUGGGGGUCAGUAAGAUUUUUUUUAAACUGAAAAACUUUGAUUUCAGAAGUGAUAGUUUAUGAUGUUACAAAAUAUAUAUAUUUCAAAUAUUCACAAAAAUAUUAAGCAGCACAACUCUUGA